rnacentral:rRNA from 1 species
CAGCAGCCGCGGUAAUACGUAGGUGGCAAGCGUUAUCCGGAAUUAUUGGGCGUAAAGCGCGCGUAGGCGGUUUCUUAAGUCUGAUGUGAAAGCCCACGGCUCAACCGUGGAGGGUCAUUGGAAACUGGGAAACUUGAGUGCAGAAGAGGAAAGUGGAAUUCCAUGUGUAGCGGUGAAAUGCGCAGAGAUAUGGAGGAACACCAGUGGCGAAGGCGACUUUCUGGUCUGUAACUGACGCUGAUGUGCGAAAGCGUGGGGAUCAAACAGGAUUAGAUACCCCUGUAGUCCCUGUCUCUUAUAC